GGAUCCCUCCCCCUCUGCCUCGGCCCCCACCCCAACCUUGAUCCUUAAAUAAAUCUCAAUCCAACAUAAAUAAUUCUCAGCCUAAUUAUUAAAUCUCGGCCCCAACUGCCAAUUAAAAUUGGUCCAUGCUCGAUUCUCUUUUAACAUUUCCAGCCCAGUAAUUAAAUAGAAGCAGUGGCCCAUAUAUUCCCUUUUAAAUACUAAGGCCCAACCAAAAAACAAUUAAAUGGCCCAAACCAUUAAUUAAGAUCAGUCCAAGUAUACUAACCCUUCUCAUCUUUCAUCGUGACUUCCCAAAUCAUUCUCCCCAAAUUUCUCCAAAAUAAAUCUCUGAGCCUCGCUUCUCCCUUCUCUGGUGAAUCGUCGUCUCUCUCUCUCUCUCUCCCCUCCCUCCCUUCGUCUUUUCCGGUGAGCUCAAGGCCGGAGCGUCUUCCUACGUUUCCGACGAGUCCCUCUCAAAUUUCAGAUCUGAAAUCCUUAGAUCGUGAAGGAAGGUACAACGCUUCCAGCCGCCCCUCCCUGAUACGGAGAAACCCGUAUCAAUGAUAAUUGGCGAGAAUUCGCCGGAUAUUGAAGGUCCGUACGUGGAGGAAUCUCCGUCGAGCAACCAAAUUCACACGCCAACGGUUUGGCGGUGUAAGAAACUUUGCGGAAAAGAAAAGAUAAAAGAACAAUAAAAAAUGAUUUGAUAUUUCUUGAAUUCAUAAUAUGAAGUCUCCUACACAUGUUUAUAAUAUGUGGGGAUACAAUAAUAUCCUACUAAAAUAUAGUAAAUCAAAUCAAAUAAUAUCCUAAGCAAAAAAAUGUAAAGAAUCAAUAAACUAUAAAAAAGUAAGGUAAAUCAAUACUAAAUGAAUAAUAAUAUAUGGAGGAUAAUCCCGAAGAUAUGAUCGUAUCAACUCCCCCAAGGUUGAAAUUCACAUUGUGGAAACCAAGAAGCGAGAAGGCGGUCCAACGCAGAAAUUUGGCUACCAUUAAAUACUUCAAGAAUCUAUAUCCCCAUGCUUGGAAGUUGCCAAUACAAUUGCACAACAUCUGCUGGUGCAAUCAUCAAUCUCAGUCCACAAAAAUUCAAGUCAACCCCACUAAUUACAGCCACUCCAUUAGCACCCUUGAGACCACAGUACUCGCAAUAGGUCUCAGCUCCAACUAGGGGCAGUUUUAGAAUACUCCAUAUCUCCUCAAACAUAUUCGUUAUUGAUGCACAAUUAGCACUAUGGCGAACAAGACGCAUCCCCUCUGUCAAUUCCUUGCUGCAAAGAUGAAAAUUGUCCUCAUCAAGUUCCAUGACUGUCCCCUUAGCAACGAAACCUCCAGCUUGAUUCAACUCUACUCCUCGGUCAAGGUGCAAAGAUAACAGCAUUGCAUUGGCAUCAAAAGAUUCAACUCCAAUAAUUUUCACUUGUUUAAGUACCCAUUGAACAUAGGAUUCAAUCUUCUUCUAAUCCCGAGCAAAGUCUUGUGAGAUACUCUCUCCUGGAUCAAACGUACAAGACUGUUGUUUUGCACUUACUCGACUAGUCGAAAGCGAAGCAAUAUUGUGGUUGAAAUCUCCAUUUGCUGUCGCACCAAACUCUGGCUGGUCCAGAUUGUUGUCUGACUUGCUCAACCCCACACGAGCCACUAGUUCCCUUGCAUAUGUCAGAUUAUGAUCCCUCUGCCAAAAUCUUCAUUGGGAGCACAAUUAAGAAAGGAGCUUUCCUUUGCACCCCGUUCUUCAACAAAUAUACCUCUAGCAUAAGCUCCAGCAACACCAUGAAGUGCAUAAUAGCAUAAUGUUAAUUGCAGAUAUGAAAAUAGCUUCCUGAAAGUCUGGAAAUCUACAAUAGACUCCCUCAAUUUGACAUAGUCACUUGUCGGAUCAAAACCAUCAAUGUUGAUCUACUCGUCUGCGCUAAUGAAGUUACUCAAUUCAAUUUUGUAGAUAUCCACCCCAGGUAGGUCAUCAGCAGCAUCCUCCCGAAGGUCACCAUGCUUCUCCUCGUUAUUCUUGGAAUCUUCCACAUCAGUAACUCCCGAGAGUUCCACCAAAAUAUCAAGGUUGAAGUCUUUAACAUCAUUAGUUAAUAAAUCCUCCCUCGAAAACAAAGCCAAUUCCUUCAAGUCAUACUCAUGAAGGGAGUAUGGUGGAUCGGGAUCCGGUCGGAGAUUGUCGACGUGGCGAUCCGUGGCAUCUAAAGGUGUCUCAAAUUUGGCAAUGGUCGCUAACAGACGGUUGACUUUCGCCUCUGUAGGGUUCAUCGAUUGCGCAUCCUCGCGCGCAUGUAUAAUUGGAUCGCGUUCUAUGCCCUCUAUUCCAGACAUACCAAAUUGAUUGGGCGCGGAGGGAUCAGCUUAGUAUCGGCGUCAAGCGUUAAAUCACAAAAUGAAUUGAAAGAAGCAUCCUCACCAUGAUUUGGAUUUGCUCCACCAUUAAAACUUAUAUCAUCCAAAUUCCUCCAUAGCUAUUCCCUUGCCGAGAGAAGAACUAGAGCGGUCACGUUUCACACUCUCUGAAAACUCCAUGUUUAAUAAGCUGGGGACAGCCGCAAGUACAACAUGAGGGACCAAUGUUGGACUGGUAUUAUGGCCACAAGGCUGGGAGAUCACGGCUGGUGGGGGCGGGUCAUCGUCUGAUAAUUCACGCUCAUCUCCAUUAAUGUCGGAGCUGCACGGAGGAGCUGGCGGGGGCAGAUUUAAGGACAGGACAGCAGCUGCAGUAGGCAGUAGGGCGGCUGUCCGGCAAUGGCUCGUCGAACUCGCUGCGGCGUGAGGAUCGCCCAAGCAGCGUUCGAUUGCAUCCAUCUGAGACUCCAAGUCUUUUACAAUUGCAGUCAGGCGCUCGAGCUGUGAAACCAAGGCUGCCGCUGGUAGGUUCGGUUCCAAAUUCGGCAUCACCAGGUCAGAUGGCAUGCCGAGGGGCUCCAUGACACUGUUGUAAGGAGGUUGGUAUGGAGGCGCUGGCGGCUAGAAGGGUUGGUAAGGCGGCUGUGCAGCGGUGUACAUCGGGGGUCAGUCGGGUGGGUGAGGUUCGUGGCAUGGAUAGGACACCGAAGAUGGUUGGAGUGGAUACUGGUAGGUCUGCGGCGGCUGCUGGUAUUGCUAAGGCGGCUGCCAUGGAUUGUCCCAGCGAUUUGCAAGGGCAGUGUGUACUCCGGAUCUAAAUAUGAGUACCCAAAUUGCGCGUCUUGUCUCUGGGGUACCAACAUGAUGUAGGGCUCGGCAUGGGCAGUGGCAAGGAGAACUGUCUGUUGAAUUGGUGAUGAUGGUAGUUAGUGUAGGUGUAUGACGUGAUGGUGGAAAUAUAGAUAAUGAGAACACGAUGAAAGCUCGAAAUGAUACAGAGAAACCCCGUAUCAAUGAUAAUUGACGAGAAUUCGCCGAAUAUUGAAGGUCCAUUCGUGGAGGAAUCUCCGUCGAGCAACCAAAUUCACACGCCAACGGUUUGGCGGUGAAAGAAACUUUGCGAAAAAGAAAAGAUAAAAGACUUGAAUGUAUAAUAUGAAGUCUCCUACACAUUUAUAGUAUGUGGGGAUAUAAUCCUACCAAAAUAUAGUAAAUCAAAUCUAAUAAUAUCCUAAGCGAAAAUAUAUAGAGAAUCAAUAAAAUAUAGAAAAGAUAAGGUAAAUCUCGUAUCACUCCAUCUCUUCUCCGGCGAGCUCUCCGUCAGGUUCCUCCCUCGGCGGAGCUGUCGAUUUGGGGAAAGAACAAAAGGCGUCACCUUUCUUCCGUGAGUAGCCGUUCCGGAUCCGCCAUCGCCGUCGCGUCGUGCUGCGGUUGUUCUCCUUCUCUGUGGAGCUCGUGCCCCGCCGGCCUGCUCCCUCCGUGAGCGCAGAACCAAAGCUGCCCCCACCGAGGAGCCCGCACCGUGGCCCUUCGAGGCUCCGUCGUCAACCGCCCGUCGCCGGAUAAUCCACUCUCUUAAGCUAAAUUUUCUUCUUUCUAUUACUUAGCUUAUUUCAUGGGUUCUACUCGGCAGUGACUAUGAGUAUUAAAAUUCUGAUUUUUGGGAGUAUUUAGCUCACUUGAAAGAGUCCUCACUUUCAUACAUGUUUAUUGUGGAACGAUUUUGGUGGAUUUGCUAUUGUUCUUGGUAUUGAUGUGAAGAUCCUAAUGAAAUUCUAAGUACUCAUGCUAUCUAUUGUCUUGUUCUAAAUUCGAUCCUGUGUUUCUACGAAACUUCCUAUAUGAUUGGUGAAUCCUUGUUGUUUUCUUGCUGCCAAUCCUUAGGUUGAGUGAAAUCUGUGGUGACUAAAUGGUGGGGGAGAGAGGAGGUAGUGAGGCGGUUUAUAUAGCCUCCGAUUCUUGGCCUCUUGUGUCUGAAAUUUGGGGAAAAGAGUCUCCUACUUUGGGGUGCAAGGUACUCUUGCCUAUUUUGCUGCCAUUUUGAUGCAAGAAUUUGCCAAGGAGUAGGAGGCAUAUGGUUGUCAAAUUUAGAGUCUUAUGUGGCCGUCGAUUGAGAAGAAAAAAGAGAAGGGACUUGUCCCAAGCCUAAUUUCUCUUACUACUCUUUUUAGCUAACAACCAAGUUCUUAGUGUUAGAAUCUUUAAAGUGGAGUUUUGUAUUCCACAGUUGUAAUAUCACAUGAUAUAAGCAAUAUAUGUAUAGGUGUAUGGUUUCGUAUGUAUAUGCAUACACAUCUCAAGGGUGGCAUGUACUUAUCCACAUUCUCAUACUCUUGUAUGUGCCACAACCUUGUGUAGUCUCUUUCAAUUUGUUUUCUCAAAAAAGUAAUGGUUUCUUUUCA